rnacentral:rRNA from 1 species
AUGAAUGUAUCCAAGCUGCAAUCCAACCACGACUCGGCUCGCAUUCAAGCAACGAUAGGAGCAAGUGCAAAAGCAAAGCAAGAGAUGGAGGCUGCUGGGCAUCGCUCUCGCGUCGUGGCUGAAGUCGACCCCCGCAGCGAAUGGGUUCAUGGGGACGAGUUCCACACGCUCAUCGUCGACGUCUCAGGAUUUACCAGGGACCAGCUCAAGGUCCAGGUGGAGUCGUCGGGGAGCCUCAAGAUCGGCGGCGAGCGCGCCCUCAACGGAGGCCGGCAGUGGUGCCACUUCCUGAAGCGGUUCGACCUCCCCGGCGUCUUGGACGCCGCGGCGAUCAAGGUCCAGCUCGACAAGGGAGUCCUCUACGUCCAGGUGCCCCGUUCCACCGACGACAGCCAAGAGGACGCGCUGCGAGAAGAGGAGGACGCCGGCCUGUCCUGGAGCGGCGGCCACACGGCGGCGUGGCGGGCCGAUGAGCACCCGGCGUGGCGUCUGGCCAAGAGCCUGGGCGAGCACCGAUACGUCGUCCUGAACGUCGUGCUCGCCGUCGUGCUCCUCUGGCUCGUCGCGUUCGCCAACAGCAAGCAGAGCGGUGGGCAGAUCAAGAACGAAUGA